rnacentral:rRNA from 1 species
UACGAAGGGUGCAAGCGUUAAUCGGAAUUACUGGGCGUAAAGCGCGCGUAGGCGGCUUUGUAAGUUAGGUGUGAAAGCCCUGGGCUGAACCUGGGAAAUGCAUUCGAUACAGCUAGACUAGAGUAUGAAAGAGGGUCGUGGAAUUUCCGGUGUAGCAGUGAAAUUCGUAGAUAUCGGAAAGAACACCGGUGGCGAAGGCGGCUUCCUGGGUCAUUACUGACGCUGAGGCGCGAAAGCGUGGGGAGCAAACAGG